UUACGGUAUCGUGCAAGGUUAAGCUGAUGAAGCGGAGCCGCAGCGAAAGCGAGUCUGAAUAGGGCGCAUAAGUACGAUGCCGUAGACCCGAAACCGGGUGAUCUACCCAUGUCCAGGGUGAAGGUCGGGUAACACCGACUGGAGGCCCGAACCCACGCAAGUUGAAAAUUGCGGGGAUGAGGUGUGGGUAGGGGUGAAAUGCCAAUCGAACUCGGAAAUAGCUGGUUCUCCCCGAAAUAGCUUUAGGGCUAGCCUCGAGUGAUGAGUCUUGGAGGUAGAGCACUGAUUGGACGAGGGGUCCCCACAGGAUUACCGAAUUCAGUCAAACUCCGAAUGCCAAUGACUUUAACUCGGGAGUCAGACUGCGAGUGCUAAGAUCCGUAGUCAAGAGGGAAACAGCCCAGACCAUCAGCUAAGGUCCCCAAGUAUACGUUAAGUGGAAAAGGAUGUGGAGUUGCCCAGACAACCAGGAUGUUGGCUUAGAAGCAGCCAUCAUUGAAAGAGUGCGUAAUAGCUCACUGGUCGAGUGACUCUGCGCCGAAAAUGUACCGGGGCUAAACGUAUCACCGAAGCUAUGGCAAUCCCGUAAGGGAUUGGGUAGGGGAGCGUUCCAAGGACAGCGAAGCUAGAUCGUGAGGACUAGUGGAGUGCUUGGAAGUGAGAAUGCCGGUAUGAGUAGCGAAAAGAUAGGUGAGAAUCCUAUCCAUCGA
rnacentral:rRNA from 2 species